GACGUAGGGCGCGAGCGUUGUCCGGAUUUAUUGGGCGUAAAGAGCUCGUAGGCGGUUUGUCGCGUCUGGUGUGAAAAUCCAGGGCUUAACCCUGGACCUGCAUCGGGUACGGGCAGACUAGAGUGUGGUAGGGGAGAUCGGAAUUCCUGGUGUAGCGGUGAAAUGCGCAGAUAUCAGGAGGAACACCGGUGGCGAAGGCGGAUCUCUGGGCCGUAACUGACGCUGAGGAGCGAAAGCAUGGGGAGCGAACAGG
rnacentral:rRNA from 1 species